GCCCGGGUGGUCUAGUUGGCUAUGAUUCUCGCUUAGGGCCUUAACCCUAAGUACUUGUAUGCGAGAGGUCCCGCGUUCGAAUCGCGGCUCGGGCC
rnacentral:tRNA from 2 species